AGCGAUACUACCUUAGAUCUUCUACGCGUGCUUCGAGGGAGCACUCCAUGGAUGAGUCUAAGGACCAGUGUGAUCACGAGUUGUGGACCGAUGGAUUGGAGGAGAUGUUCGUAGACAUCCUCUACCAAGAGACCAUUGAAGGAAAAUUGGUUGGGUCAAAGAUCACCAACCGAGAUCAUCUGAGACUUUCAGAACAGCUGUCUUGAGUUGGGAGGAAGGCAAUUGAUGCGUCACAAAUUGGGAGAAAAAUCACUCGCUUGAGGCAGAGGCUAUGACUGUUCACAGAUUUAAUGAGCCAAACAGGAAUGGGUUGGAACCCACAGACAAAAACUGUAAUUUCCACGGACGAACAUUGGGCAAACACAAUAAAGAAUGGAUGUUGGAAGUGGGUCAUAUGAUGAGCCGCAAGUAGAGGCAAACAACACCACUGAAGCUGGUUCAAGUGGUAACCAGCCUCCAAGGUGGGAUGAUUACGAAGCUUGGAGGAGACAUGAUAUAUCUAGUAGUAACCAGCCUCCAAUGUGGGAUGAAUACCUACGUUCGAGGAUGUGUGAUGAUUCGAUGUGGGAUAACAUGUUUAUGCUUACAAUAGUAGCAGCAGAGGAAAGCGCAUUGCCAAAGUUUGAGCGAAUGACAGAACAUAAUAUCGGCUUACGUGGACGAGACUAUAUAGUUGCAAUUCUCAAUGGACAUCCGAAUAACUGUUGGAACUUAUUUCGGAUGGAAAUAUAUACAUUUGAAGCGUGAAUGAAUAUCUAACAUCGACAAGAGAGGUUUCUGUGGAGGAAGCUUUGGCAAUGUUUGCAUACACAGUCGCACACGCCCAAGUUCAACGAAUCACAGGUGACUAGUUUCAACACUCUACUGAAACCGUUAAUCGGCAUGUCUAUGCAAUGAUGCUUGCCCUAUGUCAUUUUGCUCCUGAUGUGAUUGCACCUACACAUACUACUGGGAUGGCACCUUAUAUUCAAGGCAAUCCAACACAUUAUCUAUGGUUCGAGGUAACAAUUUCUUACUCUGGUUUAAAGAAAAUAAAAUAUAUGGUUGAAAAUUAAGAGACCAUGGUUGGUCCCAUUUUAUUAAAAAUGGCAAAACUCACAAUUUUACAAUAUAUGAUUACAUAAAUGUUAUGGUACAAUUGACGGGACUUAUAUCGAUUCAUGUGUGCCUGCCGAGGCAACUAAUGCGUAUCUAUCUCGUUAUCAACAAGUUAGCCAAAAUGUGCUAGCAACCUAUGAUUUCGACAUGAAAUUCGCAUUCAUAUACGCUGGCUGGGAAGGCACUGCCCAUGAUGCACACCUAUUUAUGGAUGGAUUGAGUCAUCCAGGGAUCAAUUUCCCAUUGCCUCCUGAGGGACAAACUGUUGAGGAUAACUCGGAACAUUUGUUGCAUAUGCCUGACAUGUCAUCUGCCUCAGCACAAGCCAUGGCUGGAACCAGAGACUCUAUCGCAAUAAAUAUGUGGGCACACAGGGAGGCCCAUUGACACUUGCUUUAAUUUUAUUGUAUUGUAUG